rnacentral:lncRNA from 1 species
GAAGCAGCAAACAUCGAAGAAGCAAUCACCUCAUACCCACUGGCUACUGACGGUCUACCCAAUGCCGUUUGCAAGUCCGUCUACUGCAGUUGUGACCGGCUGAUCGCGAACUUGCUACGUCACCAGUGCGAUGUGGUUUGUACUAAGGGUUUGUACCAAUUAUGGUGGCGCACACGCAUGUUCUUCAGCAAGGCCCAGUGACAGGAAGAGUUGCUGAUGUUAUGCUACUGUAGAGGUUCCACUAAGGGUUUAUACCAAUUAUGUGACUUAUGUUAGAAAAAUAGAUAAUAGAUAUAUGCACGCACACUUAUGCACUUAUUAUAUAGAGGAAAAUGAUGGUACAAAAUAGUUGUGUUAUUUAUAUUUUAUAGGAAAUGAGCUGCUGCGGGACCGCUAUGUAAAGACCGAGCUUUUCACCGCCGAGCUCAUGGUAUUGGUCAAACCAUUUACUAGUAAAAUGUGUAGGCGUGAAGAUCAAAAAACCAACUCGCUGACUGACUAACCAAGCUCGGUCAUAGCAUACGGAAGACUGAGCACACCGGCUCCAACCAUGGCGUGACAUUGUAGAAGGCAGAGCACCACCAUGUGGCAUUGCGUGAUGAGGUGACUAGAAGCCAUUUGUCAAUGGCUCGCUUCCGUUCGGUUUUGUUGUCAACCUGUCACAAUCAUAAUUUUUUAAUAAGGUCUUUAGAGGAACAAAAUUGUGAGUGUACCAUAAGUCAAUAAUAAUAGUCAUAAUGUUAAUAAGAAACUUAAUCAUUAUAAUAAUACGGAUAGUUUAAAGUCGAGAUAUCGAAGUGAGCUUUUUCAUUUGGUAGCCGUAACGGUUAAUGCUUGGAAUUAUCCCAUCGACAAUUGCAAUGGACCUGCGAUGCAUCGUCUACGAGUAAUCUUAUAAGCUCCGUAUUAUUCUACGAAGUGAACUCCCGC